rnacentral:rRNA from 1 species
GACGAACGCUGGCGGCGUGCUUAACACAUGCAAGUCGAACGGAAAGGCCCUGCUUUUGUGGGGUGCUCGUGUGGCGAACGGGUGAGUAACACGUGAGUAACCUGUCCUUGACUUUGGGAUAACAUCAGGAAACUGGGGCUAAUACAGGAUAGGAGCUCCUGCUGCAUGGGGGGGGUUGGAAAGUUUCGGCGGUUGGGGAUGGAGUCGGGGUUUGUCAGCUUGUUGGCUGGGUAGUGGCUUACCAAGGCAUGGACGGGUAGCCGGCCUGAGAGGGUGACCGGCCACAUUGGCACUGGGAGACGGCCCUGGCGCCUACGGGGGGCAGGAGUGGGGACUAUCGCACAAUGGGCGGAAGCGUGAAGCAGCAACGCCGCGUGCGGGAGUACGGCCUUAGGGUAGUAAGCCGCUUUCGCCUGUGACGAAGCGUGGGUGACGGUAAUGGGUAAAGAAGCACCGGCUAACUACGU